rnacentral:rRNA from 1 species
UACGGGGGGGGCAAGCGUUGUUCGGAAUUACUGGGCGUAAAGGGCUCGUAGGCGGCUUGUCGCGUCGGCUGUGAAAACCCGCGGCUCAACUGUGGGCGGGCAGCUGAUACGGGCAGGCUGGAGUUCGGUAGGGGAGACUGGAAUUCCUGGUGUAGCGGUGAAAUGCGCAGAUAUCAGGAGGAACACCAAUAGCGAAGGCAGCUCGCUGGGACGGUACUGACGCUAAGGCGCGAAAGCGUGGGGAGCGAACAGG